GAUGACAGACAGGGUGCCAUUCUCCGGGAGCUUCUGGAGAUGGGCAAUAACCCCCCAGACACAAACUCACUAAAAAAUUAUCAGCUGUGUCUAGCACAGGGCAGGACAUGGCAGAGUGCUGAGGCAGAGCAUCCACUUUAGACAGAGUGGCCGGAGAAGACCUUCUAAGGAAGUGGCAUUUAAGCAAGAUGCCAAGCCACAUGGAGAGCAGGAGGGGUGAGAGGUGGGAGGAAGCCUGCAGUGAAUAAAGGAGAGCAUGUGCAAAGGUCACAAUGGAAAGGCCAUGGAGGCGACACUGGGCCAGGAGAGGUUGCAUCUUGGGCACUCAUGAUAAUCUGCAGUCUAACUCCAGCAAGUAUGCCAGCUCAGGCACAUCCAGUCCCAGCCAGUGAUCUCAUGAGUGAAUCUUCUUGGGUUCAAAAAGGAUUAGAUGAGUGAGGACAGUAUUUUGGGACUCAGGAAGGAAGGAGAAAGUUUGGAUCAUUCACACAGAGACAAAGGAUUCACAGGAAAGUUGGGGGACAGCAAAGUACCCUGAGUGCCUG
rnacentral:lncRNA from 10 species